AACUCGAGUCCAUAUAAGCGGACACAUUCGUGGCCAUAUAUCCGGACAAAACUGUAUACAAUCUAUACUGUACGCAAUCUGUACAAUAACAAAAUAUAUAAUAUCUAUAUAAUAAUAAGAUAUAUGACAUAUAGUACUUCUUUAACUAAAUAAUUCUUCAUCGUAACACAACAAAAUUUAAUUUUUUGUAAUUGUCAAAAUGUAAAUUACUUCUACAAAUUCAAAAUCGUGCUAAUAUUGCAGAUUGUAUUUGUAAUAUUCGCAGGUCAUAAUUGUCCCAAGGGACACUUUGGGAAAUGUUUUCUACCUACAAAAGAGCAUCGUGUUCGAUAUUACACUGUUCUCCGAUCAAAAGUAACGCACAUUAUUGAUUCUUUCAUCCGGUUUGAUUGACUGGUAGAAAAGGACAUCAACUAUGAAAUGGCUUAAUAAUUUAGCCGUGAACGUGCUGGCUGUUCGAACACUUGCGUGUGUCAGCGUAGAUUCAAAGCCGUAUUGGAGAAUCCCGUGGAAGGAGGUUGCUCGGUGAGUUAUGGACUCGACGGGACAACGUGGCCGCCGCAACAUUAAUUGGUUCUAUCGCCCAAACGAACACAUGUCGGAUUACUCGUCUCGCUCCGUUGGUACAUAUACAUACGUCAGGCGGCAGCACCAUCACCGAAGAAGAAAAAGAAGAAGAGAGAAAGGAUGGGAAAGAAGAAGAUGAAACAGCAGCAGCGGCGAAGCGGUAGAAAAAGAGCAAGAAAUAACAGUGGAACGAGAAAAAGGAAGAAGGAGAUCGGGACAAGUCUGUCCUUUCAUUAAUCAACGAUUAAGCCUCUGGCCUCGGCCUUUAUGAAUUAUUAUGAUACCACAUCUCACGACAUCGCCAUCAGUCACGACUCGUCGUGUAUCUCGAUUUUCAUGGCAACGUUCGAUAAAUCUGUCGACAUUACAAUCAUAAGCGUAAAUUACUGUCAAACGAAUGACCCAAUAAAAAGAAGUUGAUGUUGCGAGAAGAAGAGAGAGGGUUAGGAUUAACGCUAAUCAAGAAUAAAUUAUAAUCAUACUAACACCCUGUUCACGGCCUCUGGGUUUUCGUUUAUGGCGGACAGAAGAGAAACGAAGGGAUAGAGAAGAGGAAUGCUUUAAUUUAUUGGACGACCGAAAAGACAUUGCACUCAUGUUCUAGGAAUAAUAUUUCGAUAAGAAUGGAGCAACGAAAACAGUUGGAGUUAAAUCGCAUCGGUCAAUUUUUCGAAACGCUUCCCUCCAGAUAUAUGGCCCCACGUGGUCUUAAACAGUGUUCAUGUACCCGAACAUCAGUGUACAUAAGUAAUGUUACGAAGAAUGAGCGCUAACAAACUAAAACAGUAUUAAUAACUGUUCAUAAAUUACAGCUGUAUUAAUAACUGAUAAAG